rnacentral:rRNA from 1 species
AUUGCCCGGUAGCUAAGUGCGGAAGAGAUAACCGCUGAAAGCAUCUAAGCGGGAAACUUGCCUUGAGAUGAGUCUUCCCUGACUCUUUAAGAGUCCUAAAGGAACGUUUAAGACUAAGACGUUGAUAGGUUGGGUGUGUAAGCGUAGCGAUACGUUGAGCUAACCAAUACUAAUGAACCGUGAGGCUUAACCUG